rnacentral:pre_miRNA from 1 species
UAACUCUUAAUUUGUAUGAAGUUGGAUCGUUUGCCUACGUUUGCCGCUAGGGGCAAAGUGAUUGUAUGUUCGAACUGCAUACAAAUUUAAGUUA